UGCGUAGGCAGCAAGCGUUGUUCGGAGUUACUGGGCGUAAAGGGUGCGUAGGUGGCUCUAUAAGUAUGGUGUGAAAUCUCCCGCUUAACUGGGAGGGUGCGCCGUAGACUGUGGGGCUAGAGUGUGGGAGAGGAAAGUGGAAUUCCUGGUGUAGCGGUGAAAUGCGUAGAUAUCAGGAGGAACACCGGUGGUGUAAACGGCUUUCUGGACCAUAACUGACACUGAGGCACGAAAGCCGUGGGUAGCAAACAGG
rnacentral:rRNA from 1 species